GGGCCCAAGGGUUGGGCUGUUCGCCCAUUAAAGCGGMACGCGAGCUGGGUUCAGAACGUCGUGAGACAGUUCGGUCCCUAUCCGUCGCGGGCGUUGGAAAUUUGAGAGGAGCUGUCCUUAGUACGAGAGGACCGGGAUGGACUUACCGCUGGUGUACCAGUUGUUCUGCCAAGGGCAUUGCUGGGUAGCUAUGUAGGGAAGGGAUAAACGCUGAAAGCAUCUAAGUGUGAAGCCCACCUCAAGAUGAGAUUUCCCAUUUCUUUAAGAAAGUAAGAUUCCUGAGAGAUGAUCAGGUAGAUAGGUCAGGAGUGGAAGUACAGUGAUGUAUGGAGCGGACUGAUACUAAUCGAUCGAGGACUUAACCAAU
rnacentral:rRNA from 1 species